rnacentral:rRNA from 1 species
AUUGAACGCUGGCGGCAGGCCUAACACAUGCAAGUCGAACGAGUGGCGGACGGGUGAGUAAUGUCUGGGAAACUGCCUGAUGGAGGGGGAUAACUACUGGAAACGGUAGCUAAUACCGCAUACCAUCGGAUGUGCCACGAUGGGAUUAGCUAGUAGGUGGGUUAAAGGCUCACCUAGGCGACGAGCCCUAGCUGGUCUGCGAGGCUGACCAGCCGACCGGGAACGUCAGCACGUACCAGACUCCUCCGGGAGGCAGCAGUGGGGAAUAUUGCACAAUGGGCGCAAGCCUGAUGCAGCCAUGCCGCGUGUAUGAAGAAGGCCUUCGGGUUGUAAAGUACUUUCAGCGGGGAGGCGUUACCCGCAGAAGAAGCAACGGCUAACUCCGUGCCAGCCGCCGCGGUAAUAC